AUAACCUGCCCUUUGGAGGGGGAUAACGUUCCGAAAGGAGCGCUAAUACCGCAUACAGCAAGAGCCGGUUUGCCGGUUUUUGGCAAAGGUAGGGACCCGCAAGGGCCUACCGCCAGAGGAGGGGUCUGCGGCCCAUCAGCUAGUUGGUGAGGUAAUGGCUCACCAAGGCAGAGACGGGUAGCUGGUCUGAGAGGAUGAUCAGCCACACUGGUACUGGAACACGGACCAG
rnacentral:rRNA from 1 species